CGGCGGACGGGUGAGUAACGCGUGGGUAACCUGCCCUGUACACACGGAUAACAUACCGAAAGGUAUGCUAAUACGAGAUAAUAUGCUUUUAUCGCAUGGUAGAAGUAUCAAAGCUUUUGCGGUACAGGAUGGACCCGCGUCUGAUUAGCUAGUUGGUAAGGUAACGGCUUACCAAGGCGACGAUCAGUAGCCGACCUGAGAGGGUGAUCGGCCACAUUGGAACUGAGACACGGUCCAAACUCCUACGGGAGGCAGCAGUGGGGAAUAUUGCACAAUGGGCGAAAGCCUGAUGCAGCAACGCCGCGUGAGCGAUGAAGGCCUUCGGGUCGUAAAGCUCUGUCCUCAAGGAAGAUAAUGACGGUACUUGAGGAGGAAGCCCCGGCUAACUACGUGCCAGCAGCCGCGGUAAUACGUAGGGGGCUAGCGUUAUCCGGAAUUACUGGGCGUAAAGGGUGCGUAGGUGGUUUCUUAAGUCAGAGGUGAAAGGCUACGGCUCAACCGUAGUAAGCCUUUGAAAUGGGAAACUUGAGUGCAGGAGAGGAGAGUGGAAUUCCUAGUGUAGCGGUGAAAUGCGUAGAUAUUAGGAGGAACACCAGUUGCGAAGGCG
rnacentral:rRNA from 1 species